CAGCCGCCGCGUUAAUACGUAGGGGGCGAGCGUUGUCCGGAAUUAUUGGGCGUAAAGCGCGCGCAGGCGGUCCCUUAAGUCUGAUGUGAAAGCCCACGGCUCAACCGUGGAGGGUCAUUGGAAACUGGGGGACUUGAGUGCAGAAGAGGAGAGCGGAAUUCCACGUGUAGCGGUGAAAUGCGUAGAGAUGUGGAGGAACACCAGUGGCGAAGGCGGCUCUCUGGUCUGUAACUGACGCUGAGGCGCGAAAGCGUGGGGAGCAAACAGGAUUAGAUACCCUGGUAGUCCACGCCGUAAACGAUGAGUGCUAAGUGUUAGAGGGGUUAAACCCUUUAGUGCUGUAGCUAACGCGUUAAGCACUCCGCCUGGGGAGUACGGCCGCAAGGCUGAAACUUAAAGGAAUUGGCGGG
rnacentral:rRNA from 1 species